rnacentral:rRNA from 1 species
GUAAAUUAAUGCAAAUAGUGGAUGCCUUGGCUUAUUUGGCCGAAGAAGGACGCGUACCCCGCGAAAGUCGACGAGUAACUGGGAAAAAGUAAUGAUCCGUCGGUGUCCGAAUAGGGUAACCUUGCUACAUGAAGAUGUAGUGGCCCUAGAACCUUGAGUUCUAGGGGGGAAACGUGCCGAACUGAAAUAUCUAAGUAGGUGCAGGAAAAGAAAUCGUAAGAGAUUCCCUUAGUAAGCGACGAGCGAACAGGGAAAAGCACAAACCAGCAUUUAUGCUGGGGUUGUAGGACUUCAAUAUCGUAUUCUUAAGAGUAAUAGAACACCGUGGAAUAGGUGACCAAAGAGAGUGAAAGUCUCGUACAUAAAACUUGAUAGAAGCGUAGAAGUAUCCUGAGUAGGUUAGGAGACGGCAAACUCCUUUCUGAAUCUGGGGUGACCACACUCCAAUGCUAAAUACCAAAUAAGACCGAUAGUGAACGAGUACCGUGAGGGAAAGGUGAAAAGAAGGGUUGAAGACCCCGUGAAAUAGAAUCUGAAACUAUUUGCUAACAAUCAGAGAAAGCACAUUUAUUGUGUGAUCUCGUGCCUAUUGAAGAAUGAGCCGGCGAGUAUUUGAUAACUGCUUUAGGUUAAGACAUUCCGUGUCGAAGCCGUAGUGAAAGCGAGCCUGAAUAGGGCGACCCUUGUAGUUAUUGAAUGACCCGAAACCGGGUGAGCUUACCAUGGCCAGGUUGAAGCCCUGAUAAUAUCGGGGUGGAGGACCGAACCGGUGUAUGCUGCAAGAUGCUCGGAUGAGCUGUGGUAAGAGGUAAUAUGCCAAUCGAACCCGGAGAUAGCUGGUUCUCCCUGAAAUAUAUUUAGGUAUAGGGUCGCGUGAAGUCAUAGGGGGGUAGAGCACUGAUCUGGUGUCUGGGAAGCAAUUUUCAGCACCUAGUUAAACUCCGAAUACCCUAUUGAUGUUUCGCGGCACUCAGCACCUGGGAGCUAAGUUCCAGGAGCAAAAGGAAAACAAACCAGACCUACAGCUAAGGUCUCAAAUACAUAUUUAGUGGGAAAGGAAGUGUUGUCCCAAAAACACCUAGGAGGUCGGCUCAGAAGCAGCCAUCCUUUAAAGAAAGCGUAACAGCUCACUAGCCGAGGGACAGCGCGCCGAAAAUCCAACGAGGCUCAAAUAUGUAACCGAAGCUUAGGGUUUUCAACAAGAUUUAUCUUGUUGGGAGCGGUAAGGGAGCGUUCUGUGUGCUUUGAAGGUGCCCCGUGAGGAGGCGCUGGAGCGAUCAGAAGUGAGAAUGCCGGCAUGAGUAGCGAAAUUGGGGUGAGAAUCCCCGACUCCGAAUGACCAAGGUUUCCGCACCCACGNNNNNNNNNNNNNNNNNNNNNNNNNNNNNNNUAUCAUUUGACUUGGGGAGGGACGGCGAAGGAUAACAUGUGCGCAGCGGUGAAUGUUGCGUCUAAGCACAAAAGCAGUCCGGAUAGGCAAAUCCGUUCGGGCGUUUAUCUGAUGUGUUAUGGAACACCGAUUCUUCGGAUGAAGUGUUACGUGCGAUUUCAUUGUCCUGGAAAAGCUUCGCAAGGAGAUAUUAAUCAAAUCGUACCGAUAACCGACACAGGUGGUCAGGUCGAGUAGACUAAGGAGAGCGAGAGAAGGUAGUUUAAGGAAUUCGGCAAAACAGCUGGGCGUAAUUUAGAGAGAUGCCCUCCUCUUUACAGCAAUGUAAAGAGGCGCAGUGAAUGUCAUGGGGUUGACUGUUUACCAAAAACACAGGUCUGUGCAAACUCGUAAGAGGAAGUAUACGGGCUGAAGCCUGCCCAGUGCCGGAAGGUUAACUGCGAGGGUGGUCGUACUUGUACGAACGCCUUCAAUGGAAGCCCCGGUGAACGGCAGCAGUAACUAUAACUGUUCUAUGGUAGCGAAGUUCCUUGUCGCUUAAUUGGCGACCCGCACGAAAGGUUUAACAAGCCCCAUACUGUCUUGAACUAUUACUCGGCGAAAUUGAAAUGGCUGUGAAGAUGCGGCCUACUGACGGCAGGACAAAAAGACCCCGUAGAGCUUUACUACAACUUGGCACUGAGAAUGUGUAUGGAAUCGUUUAGUAUAGGUGGGAGAAUCCUUCAUUUUGAUGGAUUCAUCAGUGAAAUACCACCCGUUUCGUACAUAUUUUCUAACUUAAGAUCAAUGCAAACUUGAUCAAGGACACUGUCUGGUGGGUAGUUUAACUGGGGAGGUUGCUUGCUAAAGAGUAACGCAAGCGCGCAAUGGUACCCUUAGCCUGGAUGGAAAUCAGGCUGUACGUGCAAUAGCAGAUGGGUGCUUUACUGUGAGGCAUACAAGCCGAGCAGUUGCGAAAGCAGGUUAUAGUGAUCCUCGUGUGUUUUGUGGAAGACACCGGGCUUAUCGGAUAA